CCUACGGGAGGCAGCAGUGAGGAAUAUUGGUCAAUGGCCGGAAGGCUGAACCAGCCAAGCCGCGUGAAGGACGAAGGUGCCAAGCAUUGUAAACUUCUUUUGUCAAGGGACAAAAUCAGGCUCGAGAGCCUGACCGAGGGUACUUGAAGAAAAAGCAUCGGCUAACUCCGUGCCAGCAGCCGCGGUAAUACGGGGGAUGCGAGUGUUAUCCGGAUUUAUGGGGUUUAAAGGGUGCGUAGGCGGACUGUUAAGUCAGCGGUAAAAGCCCGGGGCUAAACCCCGGCGAGCCGUUGAAACUGGCUGUCUUGAGAUGGCGAGAGGUAGGCGGAAUGCGCAGUGUAGCGGUGAAAUGCUUAGAUAUUGCGCAGAACUCCGAUUGCGAAGGCAGCAUACCGGCGGCGAUCUGACGCUGAGGCACGAAAGCGUGGGUAUCGAACAGGAUUAGAUACCCCUGUAGUC
rnacentral:rRNA from 1 species